rnacentral:ncRNA from 1 species
UACCUGGUUGAUCCUGCCAGUAGUCAUAUGCUUGUCUCAAAGAUUAAGCCAUGCAAGUCUAAGUACGAGCUCUCGUACAGUGAAACUGCGAAUGGCUCAUUAAAUCAGUUAUGGUUCAUUUGAUCGUACAGUUUACUUGGAUAACUGUGGUAAUUCUAGAGCUAAUACAUGCGAGAAGCGCCGACCUCGCGGGAGGCGUGCAUUUAUCAGACC